CCGAUGAGGUGGAAACGGACAGAGCUGGCGUAUCUGGCCUGCAUUCAGCCGCCACGCGUCGGGCCCCGGUUUGCCGCACUCCAGAUUGGGAAGGUGGCUGGGCUGCUGGCGUGCUGGUGGUGCAUUUGCAGGUGGAGUGCGCUGAGGCGCUCGGCUCAGCGGCAUGAGCUCGGCUUUGAGGCCAACCGCGCAAGCGGUCUGGUACCCGGGUCGGGGGAGUGUUGUUUGGGCUGAGUGUUCGCUUGGGCACUGGUUUCGGGCCCGGGUGGGUGCCGAGCUGGCGGUCGACGGCGGUCGCAUGCGACACGUGUCAGCAGUCAGUUCGGUCCUGCUCGAGCUCUCGCGUGUCCGGCCUCGGUGUAAAAGCCGGUCAUCUGUCCGACCCGUCUUGAAACACGGACCAAGGAGUUUAGCGUGUGCGCGAGUCAUUGGGCGUUGAAAACCCAAAGGCGCAAUGAAAGUGAAGGUCUGCCUUGUGCAGCUGAUGUGUGAUCCUGGGCGCUGCGGUGCCCGGGCGCAACAUAGUCCCGUCCCGACUGCAUGCAGUGGGGCGGAGACAGAGCGUACGCGCUGAG
rnacentral:rRNA from 1 species